CGAAUAGCUCAGUAACACGUGGCCAAACUACCCUUCGGACCACAAUACCCUCGGGAAACUGAGGCUAAUAGUGUAUACCACAGUCCACCUGGAAUGAGGACUGUGCCAAACGCUCCGGCGCCGAAGGAUGUGGCUGCGGCCGAUUAGGUAGACGGUGGGGUAACGGCCCACCGUGCCAAUAAUCGGUACGGGUCAUGAGAGUGAGAACCCGGAGACGGAAUCUGAGACAAGAUUCCGGGCCCUACGGGGCGCAGCAGGCGCGAAACCUUUACACUGCACGACAGUGCGAUAAGGGAAUCCCAAGUGCGCAGGCAUAGAGCCUGCGCUUUUGUCCACCGUAGGGAGGUGGACGAAUAAGGGCUGGGCAAGACCGGUGCCAGCCGCCGCGGUAAUACCGGCAGCCCGAGUGAUGGCCGAUCUUAUUGGGCCUAAAGCGUCCGUAGCUGGCCGCACAAGUCCAUCGGAAAAUCCACCCGCUCAACGGGUGGGCGUCCGGUGGAAACUGUGUGGCUUGGGACCGGAAGGCGCGACGGGUACGUCCGGGGUAGGAGUGAAAUCCCGUAAUCCUGGACGGACCGCCGAUGGCGAAAGCACGUCGCGAAGACGGAUCCGACAGUGAGGGACGAAAGCUAGGGUCUCGAACCGGAUUAGAUACCCGGGUAGUCCUAGCCGUAAACAAUGCCUGCUAGGUGU
rnacentral:rRNA from 1 species